rnacentral:rRNA from 1 species
UACGUAGGGUGCAGGCGUUAAUCGGAAUUACCGGGCGUAAAGCGUGCGCAGGCGGUUUGGUAAGACAGGUGUGAAAUCCCCGGGCUUAACCUGGGAACUGCGCUUGUAACUGGCAAGCUAGAGUGUGGCAGAGGGGGGUGGAAUUCCACGUGUAGCAGUGAAAUGCGUAGAGAUGUGGAGGAACACCGAUGGCGAAGGCAGCCCCCUGGGCUAACACUGACGCUCAUGCACGAAAGCGUGGGGAGCAAGCAGG